CAGUGGGGGAGUGAAAGGGCUUGAGAGUACCCUACAGGGAAGAAUUCCCAAGUGCUCCUUCUUGUGUCCAAGGGGUUUGUUUGAUUUGGGUGGUGGCAGCGUUU